rnacentral:rRNA from 1 species
UACAGAGGGGGCAAGCGUUGUUCGGAAUUACUGGGCGUAAAGCGUGCGCAGGCGGUUCUAUAAGACAGAUGUGAAAUCCCCGGGCUCAACCUGGGAACUGCAUUUGUGACUGUAGAGCUGGAGUACGGUAGAGGGGGAUGGAAUUCCGCGUGUAGCAGUGAAAUGCGUAGAUAUGCGGAGGAACACCGAUGGCGAAGGCAAUCCCCUGGACCUGUACUGACGCUCAUGCACGAAAGCGUGGGGAGCAAACAGG